CUCCACCCCCAGCCCCAGCUCCAGCCCCCAGCCUGUCCCCACUGCUCAUAUCCGAGCAGAUAGACCCCGGCCCCACCCUCCCGUGCUGAGCCUCCUUUCUGCCGGGAAGUUCGUCCGGGAGUCAAACAUCGCUGCCCUCCGGUUGCGCCACGGAGGGGGAGCCAGGAUAGGAAGCUGCCAUGAAAUCAGGAAGCUGAGCGCGCCGGGCCCCGGAUCCGAUCAGAAAAGGCUUCCACCUGCUCCCCUGAGCGAUCCCACGCUGAGGGACUGAACCCCGCACCCCAGCCGCGCUCACCACCCCCACGCUCUCGCCUGGGCUGCUCUGACCUGGGGUUCACUUUCUGAAGAUGAUUCUGAAGAAGAGGAAUUGGAAGAGGAAUCCGAGCCUUCUGAAUGAGUUGGUUUCUUCCUUUUUUUCUCAAAAACUUUUAAGAAACAUUAAUAAAAACAUUAGUACU
rnacentral:antisense_RNA from 1 species